GAUUUCUCUCUUGGAGCCUCCCUCCCUCUGUCUCUGUAUGGGGGAGCUGCUGCUUUCUCGCUUGCUUGUUAAACUUUCUGCUCCUUAAAACUACUCCAUGUGUGUCUGUGUUGUUUUAGCUAAAUCAGUGUGAGACCAAGGACCCUGGGGCUCCUCCAGUCAUUGCAGCUGUAUCACAACUACCCUGACAGAUUUCUUGCUCAGGGCAAGCCACCUGCCAUGUCUUGAGAACACUCAAGCAGCACAUGGCGAGGAAUGGAGAUGGACAGACAUGGGCCAGCAAGAAACAGGCUUGCCAACAACAGCUUGCGUGAUCCUGAAAGCCCCGUUGACUGGAGGAUGGCCAUUUGACAACACAUUAUUUCCUGAGGAAACUUUUGACUUCUGGUGACUUGGGCCCCAGGCAAAUUGCCAAACAACCAGCAGCAGAUGGUCCUGUAUCUAAGUGCAAUGCUAAGUGGUGUGAGGGAUGGCAUGAUUGACCAUUUACUCAGAGGAGCAUAAAAGAAGGAAUUCUUGUUAAAAAUGCCUCUGUUGUAUCAAGUGGCUGUAAAACAGGCAAGAGAAUCUGGGAACUCUUAUAUCCAAG
rnacentral:lncRNA from 10 species